GAGUUUGAUCCUGGCUCAGGAUGAACGCUGGCGGCGUGCCUAACACAUGCAAGUCGAGCGAUUUACUUCGGUAAAGAGCGGCGGACGGGUGAGUAACACGUAGGUAACCUGCCCCGGAGCGGGGGAUAACAUUUGGAAACAGAUGCUAAUACCGCAUAACAACAAAAGCCACAUGGCUUUUGUUUGAAAGAUGGCUUUGGCCAUCACUCUGGGAUGGACCUGCGGUGCAUUAGCUAGUUGGUAAGGUAACGGCUUAACAAGGCGAUGAUGCAUAGCCGAGUUGAGAGACUGAUCGGCCACAAUGGAACUGAGACACGGUCCAUACUCCUACGGGAGGCAGCAGUAGGGAAUCUUCCACAAUGGGCCAAGCCUGAUGGAGCAACACCGCGUGAGUGAAG
rnacentral:rRNA from 1 species